GGCCUUAACUCAGUUGGCUAGAGUGUCUGCUUUGCAAGCAGGAUGUCGAGGGUUCGAGUCCCUUAGGCUCC
rnacentral:tRNA from 1 species